rnacentral:rRNA from 1 species
UGUGGGUGGCGAGUGGCGGACGGGUGAGUAAUGCAUCGGGACCUGCCCAGACGUGGGGGAUAACGUAGGGAAACUUACGCUAAUACCGCAUACGUCCUACGGGAGAAAGCGGGGGAUCGAAAGACCUCGCGCGGUUGGAUGGACCGAUGUUCGAUUAGCUAGUUGGUGAGGUAAUGGCUCACCAAGGCGACGAUCGAUAGCUGGUCUGAGAGGAUGAUCAGCCACACUGGGACUGAGACACGGCCCAGACUCCUACGGGAGGCAGCAGUGGGGAAUAUUGGACAAUGGGCGAAAGCCUGAUCCAGCAAUGCCGCGUGUGUGAAGAAGGCCUUCGGGUUGUAAAGCACUUUUAUCAGGAGCGAAAUACUGCCGGCUAAUACCCGGCGGGGCUGACGGUACCUGAGGAAUAAGCACCGGCUAACUUCGUGCCAGCAGCCGCGGUAAUACGAAGGGUGCAAGCGUUAAUCGGAAUUACUGGGCGUAAAGCGUGCGUAGGCGGUUCUUUAAGUCUGCUGUGAAAUCCCCGGGCUCAACCUGGGAAUGGCAGUGGAUACUGGAGAGCUAGAGUGUGAUAGAGGAUGGUGGAAUUCCCGGUGUAGCGGUGAAAUGCGUAGAGAUCGGGAGGAACAUCAGUGGCGAAGGCGGCCAUCUGGAUCAACACUGACGCUGAGGCACGAAAGCGUGGGGGAGCAAACAGGAUUAGAUACCCUGGUAGUCCACGCCCUAAACGAUGCGAACUGGAUGUUGGUCUCAACUCGGAGAUCAGUGUCGAAGCUACGCGUUAAGUUCGCCGCCUGGGGGAGUACGGUCGCAAGACUGAAACUCAAAGGAAUUGACGGGGGCCGCACAAGCGG